rnacentral:rRNA from 1 species
AACGAACGCUGGCGGCAUGCCUAACACAUGCAAGUCGAACGAGACCUUCGGGUCUAGUGGCGCACGGGUGCGUAACGCGUGGGAAUCUGCCCUUCGGUUGGGAAUAACUGAGAGAAAUUUCAGCUAAUACCUUAUAAUGUCUUCGGACCAAAGAUUUAUCGCCGAGGGAUGAGCCCGCGUAGGAUUAGGUAGUAGGUGGGGUAAUGGCCUACCAAGCCGACGAUCCUUAGCUGGUCUGAGAGGAUGAUCAGCCACACUGGGACUGAGACACGGCCCAGACUCCUACGGGAGGCAGCAGUGGGGAAUAUUGGACAAUGGGCGAAAGCCUGAUCCAGCAAUGCCGCGUGAGUGAUGAAGGCCUUAGGGUUGUAAAGCUCUUUUACCCGGGAUGAUAAUGACAGUACCGGGAGAAUAAGCUCCGGCUAACUCCGUG